GGUGAGAUGGCCGAGCGGUCUAAGGCGCCAGACUAAGGAUCUGGUCCGAAAGGGCGUGGGUUCGAAUCCCACUCUCAUCA
rfam:Phlebiopsis gigantea 11061_1 CR5-6 unplaced genomic scaffold PHLGIscaffold_176, whole genome shotgun sequence.